GCCAACAGUGGGGCCAACAGUUUGUUAUGUGAAAAAUGUGAGCAGGAAGGAGAGCAGCGCUUUCCCUCAGAGGCUUUGGCUGUAGAGGAGGUUUUCACUAACCACUUCUUUUCACUGUUGACUGGAUGACAGUGUCGCCCUGACUAGAGUCAUUAGAGACUUCCCUGUGUGCAUUAUCAGCCCCAGUCCCAACUCUCUGACUUUCUGGGCAAGGCACACAUGCUCAGCACUCCACUGACCAGAGCUUCAAGAACCAUUUUUAAGAAUGGCAGAGAAGCAGGAGCUGAUAAGUAACACACCUCCCGAAUCAGAACUGGAAGCUCCGAGCUGCCAGAAGACUUGGAAUGGCCCCGGGAUGCAGCCAUGUGUUUGAAGGAAUGGUCAAACUACUAUGAUCCAUGAUGAAAGGAAGAAGACACCAGGAGUGAUUAAGCAAGCCGUUUCCAUCUUCUUCGAGUCACCUCUGUGUGCCAAGAAUGGGAAGAUUGUUCUAGAGAGAAAUCUGCUCAGCCAAGCCAGGCUGCCAGGCUCGCUUCCUUGUCCCCCCACAAAGCUGCAUGGUGCAGCUCCUGCAGCUUCCAGAGCUGUGGGUGUAAAUCACCCGUGACGAGGAACAGCACAUAAAACUACGGAUUUGAUAACCCA